AUGAUCCCAGACUUACAGGGAAACAGUCUGAAGUCACUUCAUCAUACAGGAAAGGGAACCUUGCCUGAGGCCUCACUGGUUGUCAGGGGUCCCAGUGGUCCUUAUCUCCAAUCCAAAGCACCUUGCAGCAGCCUUCACACACUGGGUCGUCUGUGUUGUCCUAGAAGUUUUGGAGUACAGUUCCAAUGACGGUAGUACAAGAGUGACACGAACAAAUUCCGAUCACUACAUAACAAACAAACAAAAAACAACACGAUCCUGUAUUACAAUUUCACUAACAAGAUCCCUUGCACAUUCCAGGUA
rnacentral:lncRNA from 1 species